rnacentral:rRNA from 1 species
CAGUCGCCGCGGGAAUACGUAGGUGGCAAGCGUUGUCCGGAAUUAUUGGGCGUAAAGGGCUCGCAGGCGGUUUCUUAAGUCUGAUGUGAAAGCCCCCGGCUCAACCGGGGAGGGUCAUUGGAAACUGGGAAACUUGAGUGCAGAAGAGGAGAGUGGAAUUCCACGUGUAGCGGUGAAAUGCGUAGAGAUGUGGAGGAACACCAGUGGCGAAGGCGACUCUCUGGUCUGUAACUGACGCUGAGGAGCGAAAGCGUGGGGAGCGAACAGGAUUAGAUACCCCAGUAGUCCCUGUCUCUUAUAC